rnacentral:lncRNA from 1 species
AAAGUCAGUGGGACCUGAAGAAUGUUCGGUUUCACAAAAGGACCUACGCAAGGUUGGAUGAUGUCGUCCUGAAAUAUCAAGAAAUCCACAAUGGCCUGCUCAGAGAAUAUAAAGACUCUCUUCAAAUCGUCCACAGAAAGAGAUACAAGGUCUUAACGGAAAAAUGGCGGAAAACUCGACAGCGCACACGUGGCAAGGGACACUACGUUACAGCCAUUAAAAAAGCAUUCACAUUUGAAGAGGGCCGCAGCAUGCCUCCCAAGACCCCAUUGAAAGCAACACCCAUGGUCCCAUCUUCAUCCUCAGAUGUAUCAGCAAGAUUUCAAUCACAGCCACCAUGCUCACCCUCAGAUCUCCCUGCAUCUGGCCCACGCAAGGUACCAAAAGUACCAGUGGUUUUGACAACCACACAACAGCUCCGCACUCUGUGGGAGAAGACGCCAUGCGAUAUUGCAGUGGCUUUGGUUCCCACUCAAGUGAGAGGGGACACCAUUGCCAUCCACCGUAGUGCAAUCUGCACGUUGCGGC